rnacentral:tRNA from 1 species
AGCCCAGUUGGUAGAGCAUGGUGUUUGCAACGCCAGGGUUGUGGGUUCGAUUCCCAC